GACGAACGCUGGCGGCGUGCUUAACACAUGCAAGUCGAACGGAAAGGCCCUGCUUUUGUGGGGUGCUCGAGUGGCGAACGGGUGAGUAACACGUGAGUAACCUGCCCUUGACUUUGGGAUAACUUCAGGAAACUGGGGCUAAUACCGGAUAGGAGCUCCUGCUGCAUGGUGGGGGUUGGAAAGUUUCGGCGGUUGGGGAUGGACUCGCGGCUUAUCAGCUUGUUGGUGGGGUAGUGGCUUACCAAGGCUUUGACGGGUAGCCGGCCUGAGAGGGUGACCGGCCACAUUGGGACUGAGAUGCGGCCCAGACUACUACGGGAGGCAGCAGUGGGGAAUAGUGCACAAUGGGCGGAAGCCUGAUGCAGCCAAGCCGCGUGCGGGAUGACGGCCUUCGGGUUGUAUACCGCUUUCGCCUGUGACGAAGCGUGAGUGACGGUAAUGGGUAAAGAAGCACCGGCUAACUACGUG
rnacentral:rRNA from 1 species